rnacentral:rRNA from 1 species
UACGGAGGGUGCAAACGUUGUUCGGAAUUACUGGGCGUAAAGGGCUCGUAGGCGGCCAACUAAGUCAGACGUGAAAUCCCUCGGCUUAACCGAGGAACUGCGUCUGAUACUGGAUGGCUUGAGUUCGGGAGAGGGAUGUGGAAUUCCAGGUGUAGCGGUGAAAUGCGUAGAUAUCUGGAGGAACACCGGUGGCGAAGGCGGCAUCCUGGACCGACACUGACGCUGAUGAGCGAAAGCCAGGGGAGCAAACGGG